CCUGGCUCAGAUUGAACGCUGGCGGCAGGCUUAACACAUGCAAGUCGAGCGGAAACGAUGAUAGCUUGCUAUCAGGCGUCGAGCGGCGGACGGGUGAGUAAUACUUAGGAAUCUACCUAGUAGUGGGGGAUAGCUCGGGGAAACUCGAAUUAAUACCGCAUACGACCUACGGGAGAAAGGGGGCAACUUGUUGCUCUCGCUAUUAGAUGAGCCUAAGUCGGAUUAGCUAGAUGGUGGGGUAAAGGCCUACCAUGGCGACGAUCUGUAGCUGGUCUGAGAGGAUGAUCAGCCACACCGGGACUGAGACACGGCCC
rnacentral:rRNA from 1 species